UCCCUAGUGGCUCAGAUGGUAAAGAAUCCACCUGCAAUGUGGGAGACCUGGAUUCGAUCCCUGGUUUGGGAA
rnacentral:tRNA from 1 species